GACGAACGCUGGCGGCGUGCUUAACACAUGCAAGUCGAACGGAAAGGCCCUGCUUGCAGGGUACUCGAGUGGCGAACGGGUGAGUAACACGUGGGUGAUCUGCCCUGCACUUCGGGAUAAGCCUGGGAAACUGGGUCUAAUACCGGAUAGGAGCCAUUUUUAGUGUGAUGGUUGGAAAGUUUUUUCGGUGUAGGAUGAGCUCGCGGCCUACCAGCUUGUUGGUGGGGUAAUGGCCUACCAAGGCGGCGACGGGUAGCCGGCCUGAGAGGGUGGACGGCCACAUUGGGACUGAGAUACGGCCCAGACUCCUACGGGAGGCAGCAGUGGGGAAUAUUGCACAAUGGGCGCAAGCCUGAUGCAGCGACGCCGCGUGGGGGAUGACGGCCUUCGGGUUGUAAACUCCUUUCGCUAGGGACGAAGCUUUUGUGACGGUACCUAGAUAAGAAGCACCGGCUAACUACGUG
rnacentral:rRNA from 1 species